GAUUAUUAAGGUCGGAAAGGCUCCCGACACUCUCUGUAAAGAGAACCUGAGAUGCAGGAUACGCCGCCCUGCUAAUAGUC
rnacentral:ncRNA from 12 species